rnacentral:rRNA from 1 species
AGUGAACGCUGGCGGUAGGCCUAACACAUGCAAGUCGAACGGCAGCACAGUAAGAGCUUGCUCUUACGGGUGGCGAGUGGCGGACGGGUGAGGAAUACAUCGGACUCUACUUUUUCGUGGGGGAUAACGUAGGGAAACUUACGCUCAUACCGCAUACGACCUACGGGUGAAAGCAGGGGAUCUUCGGACCUUGCGCGAUUGAAUGCGCCGAUGUCGGAUUAGCUAGUUGGCGGGGUAAAGGCCCACCAAGGCGACGAUCCGUAGCUGGUCUGAGAGGAUGAUCAGCCACACUGGAACUGAGACACGGUCCAGACUCCUACGGGAGGCAGCAGUGGGGAAUAUUGGACAAUGGGCGCAAGCCUGAUCCAGCCAUACCGCGUGGGUGAAGAAGGCCUUCGGGUUGUAAAGCACUUUUGUUGGGAAAGAAAAGCAGCAGGUUAAUACCCCGCUGUUCUGACGGUACCCAAAGAAUAAGCACCGGCUAACUUCGUG